CAGUAGGGAAUCUUCCACAAUGGACGAAAGUCUGAUGGAGCAACGCCGCGUGUGUGAUGAAGGGUUUCGGCUCGUAAACACUGUUGUAAGAGAAGAAUGACAUUGAGAGUAACUGUUCAAUGUGUGACGGUAUCUUACCAGAAAGGAACGGCUAAAUACGUGUCAG
rnacentral:rRNA from 1 species